GUGCUCGCUUCAGCAGCAUACACACUAAAAUUGGAUCAACACAGAGAAGACUGGCACAAGGCUAACACGCAAACUCAUGAAGCAUUCCAGAUUUUU
ensembl:snRNA U6 U6 spliceosomal RNA